CAACCAGGGGUAUCAUGCCUUGUAACGGCGAGUGUGCGGCGCAACAGCUCAAAUUUGAAAUCUCGGCUCUCGGGCCCGAGUUGUAAUUUGUAGAGGAUUACUUUUGAUGCGGUGCCUUCCGAGUUCCCUGGAACGGGACGCCAUAGAGGGUGAGAGCCCCGUCUGGUUGGAUGCCAAAUCUCUGUAAAGUUCCUUCGACGAGUCGAGUAGUUUGGGAAUGCUGCUCUAAAUGGGAGGUAUAUGUCUUCUAAAGCUAAAUACCGGCCAGAGACCGAUAGCGCACAAGUAGAGUGAUCGUAAAGAUGAAAAGCACUUUGAAAAGAGAGUUAAAAAGUACGUGAAAUUGUUGAAAGGGAAGCGUUUAUGACCAGACUUGGGCUUGGUUGAUCAUCUGGGGUUCUCCCCAGUGCACUCUUCCAGUCCAGGCCAGCAUCAGUUUUCGCCGGGGGAUAAAGACUUCGGGAAUGUGGCUCUCUUCGGGGAGUGUUAUAGCCCGUUGUGUAAUACCCUGGCGGGGACUGAGGUUCGCGCAUCUGCAAGGAUGCUGGCGUAUUGGUCUUGCAACGAGGGGU
rnacentral:rRNA from 1 species